rnacentral:rRNA from 1 species
UACGAAGGUCCCGAGCGUUAUCCGGAUUUAUUGGGUUAAAGGGUGCGUAGGCGGGUUAUUAAGUCAGUGGUGAAAGCCUACAGCUUAACUGUAGAAUUGCCAUUGAUACUGAUGAUCUUGAGUAUGAUUGAGGUGGGCGGAAUGUGUCAUGUAGCGGUGAAAUGCUUAGAUAUGACACAGAACACCGAUUGCGAAGGCAGCUCACU